GGUUGUGGCUCAGUGGUAGAGCGCUAGCCUAAUGUGGGUGAGGCACUGGAUUCGAACCUCAGCACCA
rnacentral:tRNA from 1 species